GUCUCAGUAUCAAGGAGCACCUAAGCACAAUGUGCAGGCUUUUUAAAGAGAGUCAAAUAAUCACUCUUCAUCAUGAGUUUUCUGGAAAAGAAAAUAAAGACGCGAGAAGGAGUUAUAAAUCACCAUACAGGAUCCUGUUGGGGAAGCCCUUCCUGCAGAUCCUGAUGCCCUCCAGUACACCGUUACAGCGCAGCUGGUGCAUUACCAGAGGAUUCUCCAUGGCUCCUGGAGUCUUUGUCUCAUUGGGGAUGAUGCAGCGCACAAAAUGAGGAUGAGUUGAUCUCAGGCUGUGAUACCGUCAAGCUAUGACCCUCAGGGUGCUGCAAUAAAG